rnacentral:miRNA from 5 species
CAUGCCUUGAGUGUAGGACUGU